ACCGCCCACACAGCACACGCCUCUCUCUAAGUAGUUCGUUCCCCUAUCUCUCUCCUUGGCCGGCAAGUCCCGUCUGCCGACUACCAACACUUCUCAUUUAUUGUUGCUUUCCUUCGUUAUUUCCUUUGCUCCCUAAAUCAUCGAGAGACACACCCACCAUCCCCUAGGAGACUCGAUUGCCUCCCCUUCCUUAGAGACGACAAGUACCUUAUUCCACAUCCCCUUUCCCGUCAGCGAGCUUUGCCCCGUCUUCCUCUGUCGAAACUUUUCUUUCAUUUUCAUCAACUUUGAGGUGAAACAAACUGUGGAAAAUGUUGAUGAAGCGUGAGGCAUCUUCCAAGCGCCAAUACGAAUCCAGAAGAUUUAUGGAUUAGUCAUUCCCAGGUGGUUAUGGAAAGAUUUUAAGAGAAGAAUUAGAAAGAAGGGAUGUUUUAGCGUCAUUCUCCAUUUUAUCUUGUACUUGUAUCUGAUAUUUUACAGCACAUUGUUCCAUUCUGAUCCCUUACACGCUCAGUAUAUAUGUGAUUUUAUAUCUCAUUACUCUUGUAAUUUGUAGGUUCUUGAUAAUGUGAGAAAGGAUAAGUCUAAAACAUUUUAAUCUUGUAAAACCAUUGGGAUCAGUGUGAAUUUGGUGAAACUGACUUAUACUCUGCGAUGAAAGCUAUGGAUAAAGGUGUUAUGCUUAACCCAAAUAAGGCAUUUGAAAUUGCAUUGAUUAUGAGUGGUAGCAGUAGCAGACUUUCAAUUAUUGGCACGGAAAGAGCUUCUCUAUGAACAAAAUGAUUAUCAAGAAAGCUGUGGAAACUAGAGUCAAAGAGUUGUCUUGCUUCCUUUGGGUCAACAUGUCAAGCAGCAAGAGAUGCUAGAAUGAUCUUCUUUUCUGGCAAUAUUAUUCUUUUCUAAAUUCUUUCACAAUUCUGGUUGAGGUAGAGUUUUCGCAACAUUUUUCGGUAAAAAUGAAAACCUUUUCCUACAGGAUCUACUCAAAUACCCUCUGCUGCCUUUGAUUGGGCUGUUGAAGACUCAUGGGAAGCUUGUUCUUGUUGGUGCUCCAAAGAAACCGAUUAAGUUACGAACCUUUUCAAAGCAGAUGUCAAAUAUGGAUUUGUCAAAUACUGACUUUUCAUUGACACAACAAUUUCAAGUUUAUAUCGACUAGGCCACUUGUUACUUUAAACUUAAGAAGACUGUAAUUGAUAAUAAAUAAAUAUAUUACCUUUCAAAUUAAUAAUAUUUUCUAAUUUUUUAAUAUUUGUAUGAGUUUUGCAAAUUCU